UAAGCUUUGAAUAUUCCCUUUUAUAGUUCAGGCACCCCCAACAUUUUUAUGUAAAAUCUUUUUCUUUUUAAGUGUAACUACAUCAACAUUAAAAAAAAAAAACAACUUCAGAGAGUACAUACAGAAGUGA
rnacentral:pre_miRNA from 1 species